UACGAAGGGGGCUAGCGUUGUUCGGAAUCACUGGGCGUAAAGCGCACGUAGGCGGAUUGUUAAGUCGGGGUGAAAUCCUGAGGCUCAACCUCAGAACUGCCUUCGAUACUGGCAAUCUCGAGUCCGGAAGAGGUUGGUGGAACAGCUAGUGUAGAGGUGAAAUUCGUAGAUAUUAGCUAGAACACCAGUGGCGAAGGCGGCCAACUGGUCCGGUACUGACGCUGAGGUGCGAAAGCGUGGGGAGCAAACAGGGAUUAAGAAACCCCGGU
rnacentral:rRNA from 1 species